AUUGAACGCUGGCGGCAGGCUUAACACAUGCAAGUCGAGCGCGCCGCGGACUUGUGAGUAAUGUCUGGGAAACUGCCUGAUGGAGGGGGAUAACUCCUGGAAACGGUAGCUAAUCCCGCAUACCAUCCGUUGGGCCCAGAUGGGAUUAGCUAGUAGGUGGGGUAAUGGCGCACCUUGGCGACGAUCCCUAGCUGGUCUGAGAGGAUGACCAGCCACACGGGAACUGAGACACGGUCCAGACUCCUACGGGAGGCAGCAGUGGGGAAUAUUGCACAAUGGGCGCAAGCCUGAUGCAGCCAUGCCGCGUGUGUGAAGAAGGCCUUCGGGUUGUAAAGCACUUUCAGCGAGGAGGCGUUACUCGAAGAAGAAGCACCGGCUAACUCCGUGCCAGCAGCCGCGGUAAUAC
rnacentral:rRNA from 1 species